ACCCCCGCACAUCCAAAGACCAUUGUAGUUGACAUCGUUAGAGACAAAUUACAACUUUUGACAUUUUGACUUGCUUGUGCAUAUCGUUAGGGUAUAAGGGUUCUUAUUUAACUUUAAUUCAUGGAAUUUCUGAUUCGGGAGAUACGUACUUUUCGUAAUACAUUCCUUUGUUAUUUGUUCAUGUCAACCAUUGCAUAAUGGGCUGCCAUAUUCAGAGAUUUGAAAAAAAAUACUCGGCAUGUAAGUACUUCAUUUGCAUCUACCAGCUAAAAUAUAUGUUGCAAUUACUCAUCUCAUAACCAUCAAAUGAGAAGAAUUUAGGUAAAAUAGCUUCCUGCCACCUCACCUUGCAUAUGACAGGAAGCAGACUUUUGCUUCAGCUACUAUUUUAUUGGUGUCAUUUCAGAUCUGAGUUUUGUGUUUCAUAGAAGUUGCUUAAUAUCCAAGUUGGUUUUAAUAAUGACAUUAAAGGAUAAUUUUGUAAUAUCUAUUCAGUAUGUUCUACUUAGGAGGUGGGAUUUUCUGUAUGUAUACAUGUAGCUGCAGUUGCUUCUUUUGUACUGCUUGUUUAUACUAUCUAUUUUGUGAUCACUUUUUCAAUGUUUAGAGUUAUAAGAAGUAAGAAUACAUCUCUUUUCUGCAUUCAGUGUGAUCGUACCAGUAUAUGAGUUGUAAAUUGAACGGUUUAAAUUCAGUUGAUCUCUGGUUUGAAGGAUGUUAACGAUAGCAGUGGCAACAGUUCUAUGUGGGAUUUUUUAUUAUUAUUGUAUAUGCCUUGGAUGUAAUUAAUCACUUGAAAUGUUCAGUGUGGUGCCUUUUUACCUCUUCGCUCGCGCUGGCUUUAAAUAAUCAUUAUUAUACACGAAACAUAUUGUUUCUUACUUGAAAUGUUUACUUUGAUGUCCAGUUCAUUGUAUCAGUUCCCAACUUAGUGUUUUAUUUCCUCUUGUACGUGUUGGGUUACUACAUUAAUUUAGAGAGGAAGUGGCUUUUUUUAGUAGCUCUUGUGUGAUUUUUGUGUUUAUUUCCUGAAAGUUAGCUUGCUUGGGUAGAGGCACGCCACACACUUGAUAAUGCACACCAUAAGACUUCUAGGUAGGAAAGUUCUAGCAUCCUUUGGCGUACCACCUGGGUGGGUGAAUAACUUGAUGCUGGAGAAAAUUCUAGAAUCCCUCGAUACACAAAUAUGCUCCAAACUGAUUGUACCUAAUAUUGAUGUAUGCCAAUAUGCUAGGUUCUGUUUUAGCAAAAUGUCGGCCCUUUGAUUGUACUUGGGCCUGAAUGGAUCAUGGAUGUAGUAAUGUAUAUAUGGAUAAUACAUGCAUAAUUGAAUGGUAGCGUGGCUAAUAUUGUGUUCAGUGCAAGCCUCACCAUUUGUUUCUCCGGUGAACUAUGCAUCACACACUAAAAUUUAAAAGAAGCACGACAUAUUUCUCAUUGCUCUUCACAAACUAUAAUGGCUCUGUUUUACUCAUGUUACUUCUUUAUAUAUCUAUUAAUGACUUGAAUUUUUUCCUCUUUAUUAUAAUCAUACUUUCAGUUCCAUACUAUAAUGGUCUUCAUCCUUGCUGGAUGCCCAAACCAUUACCAUAGGGUGAUACCUAGGAGGAGCUAGCAUUGGUUUAAUUACAACGGAGUUGAGAGGAUCGAUCCCAGUCUGGCCAAUUCACUUCCAGUGUUAUGCUUGUAAUCUCUUGGGUGAAUUCUUGAUGCCUGGACCGUUGCUCAUCUUCCUCCCUACUUGAAAAAUGGUGCUUUUCAUACAUCACUCUUUGCUUCGAAAUUAAUUAGGAAAAAAAAUUAUGCUUCCAUAGAUCUGCUCAAAAUUGCCCUAGCACACCGUAGCAUGAAAUUUUCCUACUAGCUAUAUCAGAAAGAUUACUAUUUACCUUCUAUCUGGUUAUGCAGUGGAAAUAGGAAUCAGUAAAUAGUUUCAUCGUCAUCCUACCUCCGAAGUAGUGCUUUCACUUUGAAACUAAUUUUCUUCUCUGAUUCUCAUCAUAUUUUAAUUAUAGGCCAGAAAAUAUAUUUGGGGUGGUUAUUAUAGCUACGAAUGAAAAUCAUGUACUUAUGUCAUAUCUGAGCUCUGCAAUGUGGUCAAAGAUUGGUCUUUUUAAUCUACCACUGAGGAGCUCUUUUUUAUUCAGGGUUAGUAUGAAUUAUUAGCUGAAGGAGGUUCAUAAUAACACAUCUCAUGUAGGCUAGCUAUUUACAGAAUGAUUGCACCAAGGGAGCAACACAGGGCAUGUAGCAACUUGAUGAUGGAGAAAUGUAAAAAAAAUCAACAGACAUGAGUUCACAGUAUUAUUUUCUUCAGGAGGAUAUAAGAAUUGGGUUUUGAUUAAUAAUGGGAUUAUGCAGCAACAAUGCAUCUUCACCAGUCAGAUGGAACUGUUAAGGGUGAAAGGGAUAAAGAAAUAAUAAUUUUAAUGUCAAAAUAUACACUCUACAAUAUGAAACCAUUUCCUUCUCUACAAAAGAAAUUAAGAAAGGAAAGGAAUGCCUUUCCAGAUCAUUUAAACUUGAAGAGAAGAUUGUGCGUACUAUAUCUACAGUAAGCAUGAGAAAUCUUAGCAGCCAUGAGAAAUGCCUUUUGCAUAUUUGCAGUUCAAAUACAGAGAUGCUCUAUGGAAUUUCGUCUUUACUGAUUCAUUAUGUUGUCAGCUCACAAUGUUAGUAGCUUUGCUAGAAUGCAUGCUAUUUACUACUGUAUGAUUAAUAUCAUAUUGAUGUGAGCAAUUGGUUUAAUUAUUAUAUAGCUCCAAGUUAAUAAUACGACUAAAUGGAUAGAAAUGAUGAUACUAUAAUUGCUUUGAAAUUCGUCCUUUCUUCCCAGUAUAUUUCCACAAUACUGUUGACAUAAUCAAAUAUGUGUUGGGGUGCUUUUUGUAGGAUAUAAGAAUUGGGUUUUGAUUAAUAAUGGGAUUAUGCAGCAACAAUGCAAUCUUCACCACUAAACUUUCAGAUGGAACUGUUAAGCGUGAAAGGGAUAAAGAAAUAAUAAUUUUAAUGUCAAAAUAUACACUCUUCAAUAUGAAACCAUUUAUUCUCUGCAAAAGAAGUUAAGAACGGAAAGGAAUGGCUUUCCAGAUCAUUUAAACUUGAAGAGCAGAUUGUGCAUGAGAAGUCUUAGCAGCCAUGAGAAAUGCCUUUGCCUUUUUGGUAUCACCAUUGUAUUUGGUUGCCAAAAGUGGUUCGGUCUCUUUAUCUUGCAUCUACAAAAGCAUUAGAUGUGUGAAACUGAUAUUUGGUAGCAAAUUGAACUGUACUUCACAGAUGGUUGGAUUUAGUUGUGUCGCUUCAGGUUGCAGGAUAAGAUCCUUCUAGACCAUUUCACUUCCUAACCACAAAUGUUCAAUAUAUGUUGAAUUGUUUAUGAUUUAUUUGCAUUUGUCAUCGAACUGCAUGCCUUUUAAUUUAAAUCAUCUCCGAUGUGUGCAUAAAUGAACUGUUUUGAAUUGCUUCUCAGUUCUGAAAUCAGCUCCUUUCUUGAUGCAUUGUUAUGAUAUUUCCGCAGUGCUGUAAAUAUUUUGACUACCUCUCAUCGAACAGCUUAUUUCGCACUUUACACUGUUGGGCCCUCUCUGGUGAUUACUUCAAAAUUAAUUAUGUUAAAUGUGGCUGCCUCUUGAGAGAGCUAUUAAAUUAUUGUUUAGCUAAAAAGGAGGUACGAUAUAUUUUCAUCUGGUUUGUAUUGUAAACACAUGCUGUGAUACUACAGAUACACAAUAUUUUACCAAACGAUUGACUGUGCGAGAGGCUUGGUGGCUUGCAGAUUGAUAGACUUAUUUUCUGACUAUUAUCAUCGAUAUGUAUAAAUGUUUGAUGCAUUUUACCACCUAUUCAUGAGUGCAGAUGACGAGGUUU